UCAAAAGCCCUAUUCUUCUCCCUUUUUUGUUCUCUUUCCUUUUAAAUUUUAUUUAUUUGUUUUUUUCUCUUCAUUGAUCAAAUUUUGCUAAAGAAAAAUUCUUGACAAUAAACGACCUUUUCAUCACCAAACUUCAAAGCAAAGGGUCACCAAGAGACGCAAAGAGGGAGGCAAACUGAGCUUCAAUCAUGAACCCAUCAUCAGUGGUAGUAGCUAGCAGAGACCAAGCUCUCUCUUUUUUCAACCACCCUUUCUCCCAAGCUCACUCUUUUCCACUUCCAAAUUUCAAAAAUGGCUCCUUUAUAUCUCCCAUCAAUACCCAGACAAGAAAACCAAAGCCCAACCCUCUCUUUACUGCUUCUAAGCGGUUCCAAGCUAUAUCAGCUUAUUUAGGAGAGAGGAAUCCACCCGCAAAGGCACUUAGACAAAUUCUGGAAUUGCCAGGGGUUCACUAAGGCCCUGCUUGUUUUUAUUGUCUCAGUGCUAAGCUUGUUGAAAGAGCUGGCUUUCAGUAUUGUUUCACCAGUGGAUUUUCCAUUUCUGCUGCUCGCCUGGGAUUUGGAAUUACCAGACACAGUAUUUAUUUCCUAUGGUGAAAUGGUGGAUCGGUGGCAACAAAUCACCCAGGCUGUGUCAAUUCGUGUCAUUGGGGAUGGUGAUAAUGGAUGGAAAUGCGAUGAAUGUCAAGAGAACUGUGAAAGGAUAUAUAAGAGCAGGCUUUGCAGGAUCAUUCUUGAAGAUCAAGUUCAUGUUCGGUAGAAAAAAUUUUUAUCUUUUUCAAAUAUUUAUGUUGGUGGUAAACGUUUUGGAUCAAUUUUCAUCUUUUUCUUUGUCCUCUCUUCCCUCACCGUUCUCUCUGUCCUUUUCUCAGGAGUUUUACCAACUUUAUAGCUCCUGUUUUUGGAUUAAUUCCGUCAGGACUCGUGCUAAUGGUUUCUAAAUCUUAGAUAGAUUGGUUCUUAGCAUGUAGAGUACCAUAUUAGCUUCAUCUUAAGCAUCUUUUGGUACGUAUGUUAUGGUCCAUGCAUGUGAACUGGUUGAGCACUGUGCUGGCUUUUAGGAAUAGCAUUGGAGAAGGUCCCAUCCAAGUGUUUGAAAUUUUUGUUAUUUUCUGCCGCUAAGGCUACCCAUUUCAAUUGAUAUUUAGAAAGUAGGAUUUGAAGAAACAAAUUGUAUUACUUGUCAGCAAUAAGUAAAUUUUGAAUUUGCAAGUAGAAGUCAGUAGUAAACUUAUAGGUUUCCUGUAACAUAAACCUAAGAAUUAAACUUUAAACUUUGAGCAUGAUUACAAAACCACACAAUAUAGAAGAUACACUUUGAAAAGAUUUCCAAAAGCUUGUAAUAUAGUGAAUGGGAAACUAGACACUUUCAUGAGAAGUGACUUUAUCGGCAGAACGCUAGCCCUGCAAGGCAGUAAACAAUGUUUAUGGCACUCUAAGCAGUUUCAUUUACAUUCUACCGUCCAGUUUAGUUUAAUAGUCUUUGAAUUGCUUAUUUAUUCUUGUUCCAUUUUGAGGCUCUGGUUUUUAUAAAAUUUCAUUGCUAGGUGUCUCCAAAAGCUUGUGGUCAUACAAAAGGCAGGAAGGUAGCUGUAAUGAGUUAAAACUGCUGUUGAUGCUCGUAAAGAGAGUGGUUCUGACAUUGUUACUGAAGCACGAACAGAUUCUCGUCAAGCAAUGUCUUUAGAGGAGUCACUCUGGAGAUCAAGGGCUUUUGCUGAUGCUGGAGCAGAUGUCCUUUUUAUAGACGCACUAGCUUCUAAAGAAGAGAUGAAAGCCUUCUGUGAAGUUUCUCCAUCAGUUCCAAAAAGAUUGAUGAAAGGCUUAUCAAAAUCCCUCCGCAGCUUUGGAACCUUUAAUAUCAAAAUCUGAAAGCUAUGCAUUAUUGAUAGUUAUGGCAACGGGUCGGGUCAGGACGAGCAAAACCUGAUCAAAUCGGACAAAUUUUUUAUUAUUUUUAUACCUGAACCGAUCCGACAUUAUAUAAAAUCAUA